rnacentral:rRNA from 1 species
CUUGAUAACAGAUAUCUUAGCUCUCGCAUCGAUGAAGAACGUAGUUAAAUGUGAUACUUAGUGGAAUCCAAGUUGCGCCCAAAGCCUUUUGGCCAAGGGCACGUCUACCUGGGCAUCACG